rnacentral:rRNA from 1 species
UACGGGAGGCAGCAGUGGGGAAUAUUGGACAAUGGGCGAAAGCCUGAUCCAGCAAUGCGGCGUGUAUGAAGAAGGCCUGAGGGUUGUAAAGUACUUUCAGUGGGGAAGAUAAUGACGGUACCCACAGAAGAAGCACCGGCUAACUCCGUGCCAGCAGCCGCGGUAAU